rnacentral:rRNA from 1 species
UGGGGAAUUUUGGACAAUGGGGGAAACCCUGAUCCAGCCAUCCCGCGUGUGCUAUGAAGGCCUUCGGGUUGUAAAGCACUUUUGGCAGGAAAGAAACGUCAUGGGUUAAUACCCCGUGAAACUGACGGUACCUGCAGAAUAAGCACCGGCUAACUACGUGCCAGCAGCCGCGGUAAUACGUAGGGUGCAAGCGUUAAUCGGAAUUACUGGGCGUAAAGCGUGCGCAGGCGGUUCGGAAAGAAAGAUGUGAAAUCCCAGAGCUCAACUUUGGAACUGCAUUUUUAACUACCGAGCUGGAGUGUGUCAGAGGGAAGUGGAAUACCGCGUGUAGCAGUGAAAUGCGUCGAUAUGCGGAGGAACACCGAUGGCGAAGGCAGCCUCCUCGGAUCACACAGACGCUCAUGCACGAAAGCGUGGGGAGCAAACAGG